GAUGAACGCUGGCGGCGUGCCUAAUACAUGCAAGUCGAGCGAACGGACGAGAAGCUUGCUUUUCUGAUGUUAGCGGCGGACGGGUGAGUAACACGUGGAUAACCUACCUAUAAGACUGGGAUAACUUCGGGAAACCGGAGCUAAUACCGGAUAAUAUUUUGAACCGCAUGGUUCAAAAGUGAAAGACGGUCUUGCUGUCACUUAUAGAUGGAUCCGCGCUGCAUUAGCUAGUUGGUAAGGUAACGGCUUACCAAGGCAACGAUGCAUAGCCGACCUGAGAGGGUGAUCAGCCACACUGGAACUGAGACACGGUCCAGACUCCUACGGGAGGCAGCAGUAGGGAAUCUUCCACAAUGGGCGAAAGCCUGACGGAGCAACGCCGCGUGAGUGAUGAAGGUCUUCGGAUCGUAAAACGCUGUUAUUAGGGAAGAACAUAUGUGUAAGAAACUGUGCACAUCUUGACGGUACCUAAUCAGAAAGCCACGGCUAACUACGUG
rnacentral:rRNA from 1 species